GCGUCUGUAGCUUAGGUGGUAGAGCGGAUUGUCCACUAAUCAUAGGGUUGGUGGUUCGAUUCCUGGCCCACAUGAU